rnacentral:rRNA from 1 species
CCCUUAGAUGUUCUGGGCCGCACACGCGCUACACUGAAGGAGGCAGCGUGUACUCCUGGAUCGAAAGAUUUGGGUAACCCGCGAAUCUCCUUCGUGCUAGGGAUUGAGGUUUGCAAUUAUCCUUCAUGAACGAGGAAUUCCCAGUAAGUGCAAGUCAUAAGCUUGCGCUGACUACGUCCCUGCCCUUUGUACACACCGCCCGUCGCUACUACCGAUUGAAUGAUUUAGUGAGGACUUCGGACUGGGACCGAUGCGGCUUUCGGGCUGCGUCGGUAUUCUGGAAAGAUGUCCAAACUGUAUUAUUUAGAGGAAGUAAAAGUCGUNACA